rnacentral:lncRNA from 1 species
CAGAAUCCUCAGCACUUUGCAAACGAGGAAAUGAAAACAAAGGAAGGGAGAAAUUAAAAAGCCCGGCAGAAAGGAUAAAACUGGGGACAUCUGAUCUGGAAUGCUACCAUUACGGUGCUCUCGUGACAUUCGUACUGCAGUACUGACUUGGGAGGCUGCCCUACUUCAGGGCCCAAAAUAACCCUUCAGAGAAGCAUAGGACAAGAAACGAGGAGUUCCCUUCAUAUUUUUUUCCCUUACUUAAAUGUGUAAUUUUCAUGGAAGCACAUCCGACUUCACACUCCAAGGAAACAGCCCAGAAGCCAUACUGGACUCCCAUUCUGACAGGGACACCGAAGCUUGCAUCAUCCCAUUGGCAUCCAUCUCGCCGUUUCCAUUCCCCCUGAGUAAUGCUGGAACGCUGGGCCUGGCAGCGCUGCGUCUGUCUCAGAAUGCGGCUCAGGAAUGGCUCUCUGGACUGCAGAGAUCAGAAGAAGCUGCACUUUGCCAGCCUUCCCCAGCUGAGCACAUAGCUUGCUUCUUCCUUUCUUUCCUUAUAUCUAUAUAUGUCUAUUUCCUUGCUUUGCACUGGGAGCUGCCAUGGCGCUUCGAUCUGCAAAGCCUUCUCAAUGCUAAGGACUGAUGUUACAACUCUCAUUCUUGCAGUCUGAAUGCCUCGAGGUACAGUCAGUGCUUUUGUCCCAUUGCCCAAUGACCCAUGAAAGGGCUGUUCUUCCAGAGCUUCUGGCUGUUGUAUGUUUGUUUAUUCUGGGAUCAGGACCGUGAGGCCUGUAGCACAACCAGACUGAAGCCCAGCAUGAAAUUGGAGGAUUCCUGGAGAGCCUGGCCUGCUGCAGGGACCUCACAAAUAACUAUAAGUUCAUGAGAACAUUUCCUAGCUCAGCCUUGCGGUAUACAGCCUUUACAUUUCAUGUAAAUCUGUUCCUCUCUUUAGGGAAUUACAAUCUAAUGCAAAAGAAAGGAGGGAUUUGUAAUCCUGCCCCUGUACUCAGCACUGGUGAGGCCUCACCUCGAGUACUGUGUGCAGUUUUGGGCACCUCAAUACAAAAAGGACACUGAGGUGCUGGAACAGGUCCAGAGAAGGGCAACGAGGCUGGGGAAGGGCUUGGAGAAUAUGGCCUAUGAGGAGAGACUGAAGGAACUGGGGCUGUUUGGUCUGGGGAAGAGGAGGCUGAGGGGAGACCUUAUUGCCCUCUUCAAGUACCUGAAAGGUGAUUGCAGCAGAGCGGGG